UCAUUUGUGAUAUCAUCUUUUAUUUUUUUCAUUUCAUUUCUUCCCCGUCUCUUCCAUUCCCCUACCUGCGAUAUUUCCCGGCGCCUAGGGUUUCUCCCAGCGGCGAUUCCGGUUCGCCGCCGUUGAGGCGGCGCGUGCCGCGCUCGACGCGCGGCCCCUGGCAGGAGCACGGCACGCGUAUUCCCCCGACGGCCGACGCUCCCAGAUGGGAAGGCAUCCGUGGCGGCGACCUCUUCACGGGCGGACGGAUCGGCCAUGGUGGGAUCCCGAUUCCGGACGCGUACGAGCGGCUGUUGCUGGACGCCAUCGAGGGCGAGCGCUGGCUCUUCCCGUACGGCAGUGCUGGUGCUGCGCUGGGGGCCAGGCCGAUGGCCUUGGUGCCAGGUCCGCCGGCCCUCGAGGGAGGCUGACUGCGUGCCGCAAUUAGGAGGCGGCUUCCAGAUCAGCGCGCGCUAGGCCGGCGGACAUGCGCGCGGUGGUGCGCUGGUGGCCCCUUGCCUCCGUCACCCUCCCCUUCCGUCCAAGGAAUACAGGAGAAGAAAAAUAAGGAACUUACAGGAUUCAACAGCGCUGGUAUUUUCGGAUCAAUAGGUGUCCCUUGCGUAUCUUUGUUGCUUUGAGUUGUGCAGUAGAUGGCUCUGAUCUGUUCGUCAUGGCGACUGUGCUGCAGUUUCCGGAGCGGCUGCGUCGUCGAUCCCUGAUAGACGGUGCACACGCAGGACCGGCGACGGCGUCGAUCCUACGCACUGGACGGUGCACACGCAGGAGCUACGGCGGCGUCGAUCCCAAAUUGCUGGACGGUGCACGCGCAGGAGCCGCGAAGGCCUGUGCGUUAAAUAAAGUUCUGCUGCUCCUAUCAACGAUGGCAAUAUUUAUAUAUAGGUGUCAGAGAUGUAACUAACAAUGAUGUCUGAAUACAAUACGGUUUCCUGGCCAAUUAUAAUACGAUUUGCUUGCCA